GAUGAACGCUGGCGGCGUGCCUAAUACAUGCAAGUCGAGCGAACGGACGAGAAGCUUGCUUCUCUGAUGUUAGCGGCGGACGGGUGAGUAACACGUGGAUAACCUACCUAUAAUACUGGGAUAAAUUCGGGAAACCGGAGCUAAUACCGGAUAAUAUUUUGAACCGCAUUGUUCAAAAGUAAAAGACGGUCUUGCUGUCACUUAUAGAUGGAUCCGCGCUGCAUUAGCUAGUUGGUAAGGUAAAGGCUUACCAAGGCAACGAUGCAUAGCCGACCUGAGAGGGUGAUCGCCCACAUUGGAACUGAGACACGGUCCAGACUCCUACGGGAGGCAGCAGUAGGGAAUCUUCCGCAAUGGGCGAAAGUCUGACGGAGCAACGCCGCGUGAGUGAUGAAGGUCUUCGGAUCGUAAAACUCUGUUAUUAGGGAAGAACAUAUGUGUAAGUAACUGUGCACAUCUUGACGGUACCUAAUCAGAAAGCCACGGCUAACUACGUG
rnacentral:rRNA from 1 species